GGCCUCCUGGUGCUUACCCCAGGCUGUGUCCCCACUGACCGCAGGAAGAGGAGGCAGAGCCAGCCUACCCACGAGCACCGCCGCCGGGCCCUGUGCCUCAUCUGUAUUGUGAGCGGGGAGACACCG
ensembl:snoRNA